UACGGAGGGUGCAAGCGUUAAUCGGAAUUACUGGGCGUAAAGAGUGCGUAGGUGGUUUUGUGUGUUAGAUGUGAAAUCCAUGGGCUUAACCUGUGAAUUGCAUUUAAAACUGCAAGGCUAGAGUGUUGUAGAGGGUGGCGGAAUUUCCAGUGUAGCGGUGAAAUGCGUAGAUAUCGGAAGGAACAUCAGUGGCGAAAGCGACUUCCUGGACCAGUACCGACGUUCAGGCACGAAAGCGUGGGGAGCAAACAGG
rnacentral:rRNA from 1 species